UACAGAGGUCUCAAGCGUUGUUCGGAUUCAUUGGGCGUAAAGGGCGCGUAGGCGGCCUUCUAAGUCGAACGUGAAAUCCCUGGGCUCAACCCAGGAACUGCGUCCGAUACUGGAAGGCUUGAAUCCGGGAGAGGGAUGCGGAAUUCCAGGUGUAGCGGUGAAAUGCGUAGAUAUCUGGAGGAACACCGGUGGCGAAGGCGGCAUCCUGGACCGGUAUUGACGCUGAGGCGCGAAAGCCAGGGGAGCAAACGGG
rnacentral:rRNA from 1 species